rnacentral:rRNA from 1 species
UACGGGGGGAGCAAGCGUUGUUCGGAUUUACUGGGCGUAAAGGGCGCGUAGGCGGCAAUUCAAGUCAGCUGUGAAAUCUCCGGGCUUAACUCGGAACGGUCAGCUGAUACUGCUUUGCUAGAGUGCAGAAGGGGCAAUCGGAAUUCUUGGUGUAGCGGUGAAAUGCGUAGAUAUCAAGAGGAAUACCUGAGGUGAAGACGGGUUGCUGGGCUGACACUGACGCUGAGGCGCGAAAGCUAGGGUAGCAAACGGG